GUUCUGGUCUGUCUGAUCGUUGAUUUAUGACUGGUUUAUUCUUGUUAUUUUGUUCUUAGGUUGUGUAAUGUGGAUUGAUUGGACUCUACCCGCCUCAUUAUUUUCAGCUAAUCUUUUAUGGAUCUGUGCGUUUUCCUAGUAAAGGAAUAAACUGGGAGGUGGGGUUUUGAAAUGAUUUGCGUUGGGGUUUUGAAAUGAUUUAAAUUUAAGAAGUUAAAAUGCAAAAAUGUGUGAAAGUGAAACCGCAUAAUUGGUUUUCUUUUUGGCUU
rnacentral:misc_RNA from 1 species